GUGAUCUUUAAGAUCUGUGGAAGAAAUAGAAGAUAGUGCUAUGACUUCCAAGAUGUGUCUCAUGGGAAGGAUCACUUAAAUGACACUUGUUGGUUGGUAAUGACUCUUUUUGAUGUUUGCUCACUUCUUCAAGCAAAGGUAUUUAAAAUGUGUCUUUGCAUUUCCUGCAUAACUGGAUCCUAGCUCAUUAAAGGUAAGACCUUUUUUUGCAAUCCCCUUAGGAGCAGUGCAUAGCAAGGGAAACUGCAUGGUUUGCAC
rnacentral:lncRNA from 1 species